rnacentral:rRNA from 1 species
CGCUGGCGGCAUGCCUAAUACAUGCAAGUCGAGCGAACAGAUGAAGUGCUUGCACUUCUGACGUUAGCGGCGAACGGGUGAGUAACACGUAAGGAAUCUACCUAUAAGCGGGGAUAACAUUCGGAAACGGGUGCUAAUACCGCAUAAUAUCUUCUUCCGCAUGGAAGAAGAUUGAAAGACGGCUCUGCUGUCACUUAUAGAUGACCUUGCGGUGCAUUAGUUAGUUGGUGGGGUAAUGGCCUACCAAGACGAUGAUGCAUAGCCGACCUGAGAGGGUGAUCGGCCACAUUGGGACUGAGACACGGCCCAAACUCCUACGGGAGGCAGCAGUAGGGAAUCUUCCGCAAUGGGCGAAAGCCUGACGGAGCAAUGCCGCGUGAGUGAAGAAGGCCUUCGGGUCGUAAAACUCUGUUAUAAGAGAAGAACAAAUUGUAGAGUAACUGCUACAGUCUUGACGGUAUCUUAUCAGAAAGCCACGGCUAACUACGUG